rnacentral:rRNA from 1 species
GAUGAACGCUGGCGGCGUGCCUAAUACAUGCAAGUCGAGCGAACAGACGAGGAGCUUGCUCCCCUGACGUUAGCGGCGGACGGGUGAGUAACACGUGGAUAACCUACCUAUAAGACUGGGAUAACUUCGGGAAACCGGAGCUAAUACCGGAUAAUAUAUUGAACCGCAUGGUUCAAUAGUUAAAGACGGUUUUGCUGUCACUUAUAGCUGGAUCCGCGCCCCAUUAGCUAGUUGGUAAGGUAACGGCUUACCAAGGCGACGAUGCGUAGCCGACCUGAGAGGGUGAUCGGCCACACGGGAACUGAGACACGGUCCAGACUCCUACGGGAGGCAGCAGUAGGGAAUCUUCCGCAAUGGGCGAAAGCCUGACGGAGCAACGCCGCGUGAGUGAUGAAGGUCUUCGGAUCGUAAAACUCUGUUAUUAGGGAAGAACAAAUGUGUAAGUAACUAUGCACGUCUUGACGGUACCUGAUCAGAAAGCCACGGCUAACUACGUG